GUCAGUAUCUGGUGUGACCACCAUUUGCCUCACGCAGUGCAACACAUCUCCUUCGCAUAGAGUUGAUUGUGGCCUGUGGAAUGUUGGUCCACUCCUCUUCAAUGGCUGUGUGAAGUUGCUAGAUAUUGGCAGGACCUGGAACACACGAUCCAGAGCAUCCCAAACAUGCUCAAUGGGUGACAUGUCCGGUGAGUAUGCUGGCCAUGCAAGAAUUGGGAUGUUUUCAGCUUCCAGGAAUUGUGUACAUAUCCUUGCAACAUGGGGCCAUGCAUUAUCAUACUGCAACAUGAGGUAAUGAUCGUGGAUGAAUGGCACAACAAUGGGCCUCAGGAUCUCGUCACGGUAUCUCUGUGCAUUCAAAAUGCCAUCAAUAAAAUGCACCUGUGUUCAUGUCCAUAACAUACGCCUGCCCAUACCAUAACAUCAGCAAACCACUCACCCACACAACGCCAUACACACUGUCUGCCAUCUGCCCUGUACAGUGAAAACCGGGAUUCAUCCGUGAUGAGAACACCUCUCUAAAGUACCAGACGCCAUCGAAUGUGAGCAUUUGCCCACUCAAGUCAGUUACGACGACGAACUGCAGUCAGGUCGAGACCCCGAUGAGGACGAUGAGCAUGCAGAUGAGCUUCCCUGAGACAGUUUCUGACAGUUUGUGCAGAAAUUAUUUGGUAAUGCAAACCGAUUGUUGCAGUAGCCAUCCAGGUGGCUGGUUUCAGACAAUGUUGGAGGUGAAGAUGCUGGAUGUGGAGGUCCUGUGCAGCUGUGGUUACACGUGGUCUGCGGUUGUGAGGCCAGUUGGAUGUACUGCCAAAUUCUCUGAAACACCUUUGGAAGCGGCUUAUGGAAAAAUGAACAUUCAAUUCACGGGUAACAGCUCUGGUGGACAUUCCUGCAGUCAGCAUGCCAAUUGCAUGCUCCCUUAAAACUUGCGACAUCUGUGGCAUUGCGCUGUAUGAUAAAACUUCACAUUUUAGAGUGGCCUUUUAUUGUGGCCAGCCUAAGGCACACCUGUACAAUAAUCAUGCUUUCUAAUCAGCAUCUUGAUAUGCCACACCUGUGAGGUGGAUGAAUCUCGGCAA